GUAGCUUACCAGAAAGGGACGGCUAACUACGUGCCAGCAGCCGCGGUAAUACGUAGGUCCCGAGCGUUGUCCGGAUUUAUUGGGCGUAAAGCGAGCGCAGGCGGUCUUUUAAGUCUGAUGUAGAAAGCCCACGGCUCAACCGUGGAGGGUCAUUAGGAAACUGGAAGACUUGAAUGCAGAAGAGAAAGUGGUAAUUCCAUGUGUAGCGGUAGAAAUGCGUAGAUAUAUGGAGGAACACCAGUGGACGAA
rnacentral:rRNA from 1 species